ACGCACGGAUCUGACAUUGCUCCCCACAGGACUCCGCAGGGCUCCCCGUGGGGCUCCCCGCAGCCGGGGGCAGUGAGGGAGGGGAGCAGGAUGUGCCCAGAUGGGCUCUGGGGAGUAGAGCAGCCACCCUGGCUUCCCCCAAAGGGUGCACUGGAGUGGGCGUGGGAGGAUGUGCCCUCUGCUGCCUUGUGCCUCUGCAUCUCACCAAACCCACCCAGAAGUCGUUCAUGGAAGGACUCUUGAAAGGGUCUCCAUGGGAGUAACACCACUGUCUCCCAGCAAUAAGGGCCUUUUCUGCUAUUCCUGGUGCUCUGACAUCCUUACCUACACCUCAUCCUUCACUCAGUGCCUCUGGAGAUCUUUCCAGGACUGAUAGUAAGAGCAGAACAUGACAUCAAAUGUGUGCUGUGCAUCUGACAGCAGCUGCUCCACAUUCCUGUGUGCAUACAGGAGUCUGGGACCAGUUUGCCCAUCCCAGUCUGACUAUCCCAGUCAAAGGACUCCAGCCGGCUGGGGCAGGACCAGACCCUUCCACUGGAAAGUCCUACACUGAUAACAGCAUAUUCGUGUCCCACUGGGGUGGAAAUACUCAGCCAACCUCCAGCAUGGUGCUCAUAGUAGUGUACUUGGAGUGUUAAGAAAGAUGCUGUCUUUCGAGAAGUCUUAAAGGAUAUGGAACAUGUCUUAAGUGACAGAUCCAGGCUCUGAGCCUGAACAAGUUCAUUAUGUAUUGCUUAACUUUAUUCUGCAUAAAAUAUGUGUAAGUCUUUGCAGGCUGAGGGCCAGGACACUCAGAGCACCCUCACACCCCCACACACAUGGAAGAUAAUAUAACAUAUUUUCCAUAUAACAAGUGGCAAGAUGCCAGAAGUUAUCUUCCAAAAUGUUCUGCAGAAUCUGUAAUCCCCAGCAAUAGUCAGCGCUUUGCUGUUAGAAUGCUUAAAAAUACUCAGAGCUUCCAAAGGCAGAUAGCCUGUGAUAUCACAGUGGCGUAGAUUUAGUGCUGAUUCAGGAGGGAAAGCACCUUGAUGAAUCAACCCCCACUCCCUGCAGCUUGCAGGAUUGCAGAAUGUUUUUGGAAGUCCUCUGCCCAGGUGAAAACCUAUCUGAUGGUGAUUGGUGCAGAAAUGCUUAUUUCUAAGCUGUCCAUUUUUAACUGUCCAGUUGCUAUUUCCCAUAAAAGCUACAAAUCAAAUGCACCCAAGCUAGAAGAAGUCUCUUAGCCAUAUCCCAGUGUAUUACUAGUCCCAGUGGAGUUUAUCCAUUCUGUCUGUACCUUGCCCACAGAAACACUCAGUGGAAGUGGAAAGUACUUUUGCAAUUAGAGGACAAAAUAUCAGGAUGAGGAGAAUGAUGAAUAAGAAGUUCCACAAGUGGUGUCUAAAGAGUCAUUCCAGUGGGUUGUCUCAUGUGGAAUGAGCUUGUCUCUUAUCUCUGAUGAGGAAGAUUUUAUACAAGACACUCCUGGGAAAAUUAUUGCCUCUUCAAGUUGAUGUUGGUGCAGUGUGAGAUAUAUCUAAGGCAGAAAUUCCAUGGACAGGGUUUGGGGAUGUGUAAGACUUUUAAAAGGUUGUACAAAGUGAAUGAAUGGUGAGUCAGCAACAUAUGAACGAGCUGAAAUAAUAGACUUCAAUGGAUACACGUAGCUGUGUGCAGUGUUUCCUCUGAUAACGUCACAGGAAGAGUAACAGAAUGUUCUGCUGUCAAAGAGUCUUGUGGACACUGACUGGUCCCUUGUUGGGCAAACUCAAUCCUGGCAUAAGGGAAAGUCCACCAGCCCCAGAAGAGAUGUGUCUUUUGUCACCAGAUGUAUCUUUUGUCACCAGAUGUGUCUUUUGUCACCAGAUGUGUCUUUUGUGCUUCUAUCAGAUCACGAGGGCGGAAAUACUCACGUCAACAGACUUUUGAGUGGGAGAAGCCCUAAAAGCAUCAGCAGAGCCCUGAUCAGAACAAAUUCAUUUUGAGAGGAUGCUGACCCUGUAUUAUCAGUGAGGAAAGAAGGCAGGCAGUGAUGAAUAAAAGAAGGGUCUUCAUAAUUUCAGUUUCUCAAUGUGAGUCACCCACAGCCUGAGUGCUGAUGACAGAUAUUCAGAGCUCAGCUCCAGCAGUCAUUGCACAAUCUACAGACCUCCCACCCAAACACCCAGGUCAAGCAUUGGAAGAUGAGGAGAAUGGGAGCAGGCACAGAAGCAAGUGUGAGAUAACCUACUAAGAUAGUGUCUGUGCUGUGGAGAAGUUCAAGAACCUGUUUCCUUACAAACCAUUCAGUGUGUCUGGCACCGCAGAGCUGAUGGGAACCACUCCCUGCAUUGAUCUGGCGAUGCAGACCUGAAGAUUAUUUGCCUACAAACAGCUAUUGUUUGCAGGACUGGCAAAUGAAAAAAACAAGUAUGUUUUCUCCACAGAUCAUUUUGCUUCCUACUUUCUCUUGAUAAGAGGAAUUUAGGGACAGUUCCCAUGUUAUGGAAGCAGUGGUUAUCUAGGCAGGAACGGAGAAGCCUAAAAUGUGCUUUCUUCUUCUGCUCCUUCCUCCCUUGUCUCUUUGCUCUCACUCAUCAUCACAUCUGUUCUGGGCCCAAUGCCCGACAGUUCUGCAUUAACGCCUCAGUACACACAGGCUCCCACAGCUGAACAGUUCGCAGUGCCACGUACCCAGUGCCGUCAUGUCUUCCCGAAUCAAGCUCCUGCAAACCAGUUUUGUUUACGGGAAGAAUCACUUGGCUUCAGAAUGCUACUUGUGAGCUGUGCCCAGCUGACUCGAGACACUCCAAUGGUUUUGCAGGGCGCCAUCGUGAAUCUAGAAAAUACAGACCAGAGCAGGUAAACAAACAUCCUUAAAGAUGAUCCCGUCUCAGACCUUGAUCCUGCAAACCCACACGGGCUUAAUGUUAAGCACAUGAACAGUCCCAGAUGACUUCAGCAGAGCUACUCACAUGCUCACAGUGCAAAGCAUUUGCCAGAUCAGAGCCUUUAUGUCUAAUUGCAAAAUAAAAGGCAAGUCUCCCAGUUC